UGGGGAAUAUUGCACAAUGGGGGAAACCCUGAUGCAGCGACGCCGCGUGAACGAAGAAGGUAUUCGUAUCGUAAAGUUCUGUCCUAUGGGAAGAUAAUGACAGUACCAUAGAAGAAAGCUCCGGCUAAAUACGUGCCAGCAGCCGCGGUAAUACGUAUGGAGCGAGCGUUGUCCGGAAUUAUGGGCGUAAAGGGUACGCAGGCGGUUUAAUAAGUCGAAUGUUAAAGAUCGGGGCUCAACCCCGCAAAGCAUUGGAAACUGAUAAACUUGAGUAGUGGAGAGGAAAGUGGAAUUCCUAGUGUAGUGGUGAAAUACGUAGAUAUUAGGAGGAAUACCAGUAGCGAAGGCGACUUUCUGGACACAAACUGACGCUGAGGUACGAAAGCGUGGGGAGCAAACAGG
rnacentral:rRNA from 1 species